AAGCAGGGGACACACGCACAAGAUGGAGGCGGCGGUGGCGGCGGCAGCGCAGCCCGGCCGAGCGGCGAGGGAAGGCGGCAGCCAGCGGGCAGGCGGGGGAGGGGGCUGCCGCGCUUCGCUCCCCCCCCGCGGGCAGGGACCGCCCGCCCCUCCCCGGUCCCUUCCCACCCCCGGGCCGCGCGGAACGGGAGGCCCCCGGGGGGCUGGGGGGGGGGUGGGGGGUGCCCCUCCGCGCUCGCCUCAGGGCUGAGGGGGGGACCGAAACCCCCCCACCUCAGUGCCCGGAGAGGAGGGGGGGUCCGCGGAGCUGCGGCCUCCCAGACCCCGCUUCGGGCGGCUGGGGGGGGGCGGCCGACGACACUGCCUUCCUCAGGGUUGGGGUUUGCUUGGGGUACGGCCCGCGGAGGGGGGACACACACACCCCCCCCCCCCUCCCUAGGUCGGUGGCCCCCAGGCCACUGGAAAUGAGCAAUUUGGGAUUUUUGCCCCAGGUUCGCUGGGGUGCCUUGCGUCCGCACCCGCUUUUUUUUGCAGGAGGCAGAGCAUCCCCCCAGAACGGAUAGGUGGAGGAGCAUCGGCCAGGCGCCAGAUUCGGACCUGGCUGCACCCCCCCCGAGAGGCUGUAGCCCAAACAAGGAACAUCAAACAAACAAUGGGAAUAAUAAGAGCCUGUAUUUAUUUUCUAGUCUGAUACUUCAGGUCCAUAUGGCCUCCUGACAUGCAGAGGUGUGACGGGGUGGAAGGACAGCGAGAGAGGGACUGAGAGGAAUGAGCAAGGAACAAGUUACAUUUGCAACUGAGAUAAGUGAUGAGAUAGAAACUGCAGAGGCUCCUACACUUAUUUUUUAUAGAGCAUACCACAUACUUGGGCAUAUGUAUGCUCUACCUCCCACUCAGAUCGUGCAGAGUAUUGCAUAAUACUACCAUCUGAAUUUAUAGAAUUAACGGAAUUGUUUUCAAAUGAAAAAAUGAAUGCUAUUUUCCCUCAUUUACAGUCCAACUAUAGAUCUUUUGUCUCUCAACAUAUGUUAAAGAUCUUUUGUCUCUCAACAUAUGUUAACCAUGGAAUCUGAGAGUCUAUAAGUCUGUUUGGCAAAGUACUCCGGUUGGACCAGAGCUUGUUGAAGCCUUAAGAGCAUGGGAAAACAUGUCACUUAAUGCUGAACAGUCUUGUAUGUCAACCUCUUAAGUACUUUCUGUAUAUACUUUUUAAAGGAUCUACUGCUAACAUAUCAGAACACAAAUAAUAAUGUAUUCUGUUCUUGUCUUGCAUGAAAAAUAACCUAUCAAAGACUUAGAAGUAAAGUCACAAUGCUGUCGCCGAUUUACAUAGGAACUCUCCUAACUUCGGAAGAACAGCUAUGCAACAGCAUGGUCCUAGCUGUGAAGGAUUAAAAAUUAGGUGUUUCUGCUUCCAAGUUGAGUGUUGAGAAGGCACUGAAACAGUGAAUAAAACUAUUUCAAAAACUUAUGAGCAACUUCACUAUCUCAUUUUCCUUUUUUAUGUGAGAAAAACCCACUGUUAAAAUUCACUUGCAUUUUUUUUCUAGCACUUUUGGUUUUGUUUUGUUUUUUUUUUUUAAAUACAACAAAUUUUUGCGAACUCUCAUUUUAAGCUCAGUUUUGAAACUUCAUACUCUUAGAUUUGCACUGGAAUUGGUUUAUUAUAAUCACAUUAUGUUCCAGUCUUGCAAAGAUUUGCAUACAUGCUUAAUGUCAAGCGUGUGAAUAGCCUUAUUAAGUUCGGUGGGAUGACUUGUGCACAAAGCAAUGUACAGACAUCUCUGAAGAUUGCGGGCCAUGUGUCACAACAUGAAAACAAGUUAUCCAUCAUUUAGUUUUAUAAUAGAGCUGUGGAACUAGUAUGUUAUUUGAAAAAACAUUCUGAACUUAUCUCAAACCCCAGAGGCACAACUUAAUUCAAUUUCUUCGCUCUCCCAGUUUUUAAAGGGUGCAGGUUCAAAACCAGCAAUGUUGCUUCAAAUGAAAGGAGCGGCUAAGACAGCUCAAACAGAGCUUCAAUAGUAUUAUAAUUCUCUUGGUCUUUAUUCAAGUAUAUAAAACACUCAAAAAGGGGAGAAAACUAUCAUGUGGAAUUUAGAACUGACCUUUUUUGUUUGUUGAUUCAUUCAGCCUCAAAAAUGAGUUAUGCUUGUAUCUCUGCUUCAGCUGUUUGUGCUGUGGCCAUUUUCUUCAGAAUUACAAAAUUAAUGCAAUCGCUAAACAGGACCAGUGCACAUUAAAGGUUAAAAGCCUGGGAUCUCAAAGCAAUUAGCCUCAGCCACCGUUUGUUUCAUCUGGACUUUGAAGUGCUCAGCUGCACUUUCUGAGACCCUAGUUUUGUGUGGAGUAUAAAUAACCCUGUUCAGUCUCACUAACUGCAGAGAGGUGACACCAGCACCCAGCACUAUCUCCUCAGUGAUGUUCUUUUUUUAAUCUUAACAUGCAAAUCAUAGUUUCAAAACCUUUAUUCAGGUGAAGUGUUCUGAAGACAGAUCUGAAAUGAUGGUGGAAAAAUUUUUAUUUUUCCAACCAAACUUGGCUAAAAGGAGUUAACUCACUCUCAUUUAACAGAAAAUCAAUGAGGGUUGAAGAUAUAUACUAACCUUUCAGUAUUAUUUAAUAGAGCACAGUCCAACAGAAAAGGAGUUAUCAAUCAGCCAAAGUGCUGACUGAGUAAGUUGUGAAGCAGCACCAGCUGAACAUUGCAUUAAAAGCUGUAUAAACCCAUGUGCUCAGAAAAUGGCCUUGUAGAGAGAAAUUGGGCAAAACAUCCCAUAAACCACAUUCACCUGGAAACUGUGACAUUUUCACAGUGUAGUAAUGCUGACAGCCUUGAACAUAACUGCAAUUAGCGCAGGAAGUGUUCAUCCAUUUGGGGGAAAAAUGAAUUAGUACUGGCUAUUUUGGUCUUCAUUCAAUCUUUCUCUUUCAUGUCUUGUUUCUCUUAGUUGGGAAAAGAAAAAGAGCCAUAAUCACGUCACCAGCCAACACUCUGCUGACCCAUGAUACGGGAAACUGCAGAGGAUUGGGAAAGCUUUCCCUGAUUGCUCAGGCAAGAGAAAGACAUGGAAAUACAAAAAGCUCAUUCCUCUUCACUGAAACGUGUCCUCAGAUGCCAUAUAAGCACUGGGGCGGUUGGUCUUUACAAACAGACACUGUCUUUCCACUACAACCUGCUACAGUUCCUGCUAUCUAUUUUGAGUUGCUGGCUGGUACAUGCCACAAAAAACAAAUACACGCACACCUCCCAGAUUCCUGGGCGUGCAGAGCACCAGCUCUCCACAUCUGUCAGGAUAUUGGGAAUUGCAGAAGGAACACCGUUUGGCUCUGGGACAGUGUGCUGUCACUGUACGGGGCUGGUGGGUGAGUGAAGGAAACCAGCGCAAGGAGCCCACACACCAGCUGUUGGAAUUGCUCUUGUAAUUUCAGAGCAUUCAGUGUAAGCUCUCAAAAGAGAAAACCAACUGAGAAACCCAGUCACUGAAACACAAAAUAUUUUCUGGGAGUAUAUUCAGCAGAAAGACCGGUACUGAAGAGACUUCACAUGCCUGACAGAGGUGGGACUCAUAUUUUCUCUGCCUAACAGCAAAAUCUACGUACCCCAUUGGAUUGUGCUCACACUUGUUCUUCUCACACACAUUCAUACAAGUCCUCAGUGCCUCUUCUGUGCUUGUCCUCUGGUCACACAGACAAUUCUCAAAGGGCAUCUCAGAUUAUUCUUUAAAACUAUGGAGGCUCCUUUUCAACUACUCAGUAUAAUACUUUAUCAUGAAGAUGUUUCUUCCUCAGCCAUCAUUACAGAUAGCCAGCAAACUCCAAUCCUCUUCAGGUAUGCUUAUCCCAUUUUGAGGAGGGGCAAGAUGAUUAUGAAAUCACAUCCUAAAUUCCCAUUUAAAGGGGUUUAGGAGUUCUGUCUGAAAGGGUUCUUCACCUUAACACAUGACUUUCUGAAAGCAAGCUCUAUACUCCAAAAGUCUCCAUAGAUUUACUCAAUUUUUCUCUACAAGAUUAAGCUUUUAAGACUACUGUGCCUCAAUAUGUCCAUAGCUAUGUGUAGUCAGGAGGCCAGCCUGCCUCACCCACAGUCCUGAGACAUCUCCUUGUGUGUUUGCACACACUCACCUGGACGAUGACACUCUGCUGCUGACCACCAAACCUCAUUUUACCAGGGCACAGGCAGCUCUAAAUAUCUGCAGGUCUCCAAGAUGUUUGUGGCACCUGCAGAGAGCUCCUCUCUGACCCAUGUUAAAGACUAUGCUGUGGAUAUGACAGCCAAGUCAGAUGCCAGGUUCAAAAGGACAAUAUUUCAAGUGCUGUUUGACUGUUGCAGCUGGAACUUCUCCCUUCCACCGUUCAAGGGAAAUGCAGGUUGUCUCACACUUAGGAAGAAGAAAGGGUGGUCCCUUGCUCUCCUCAAGAUGGGAUUCUUCGAGACAGAGUCAGCAGGACAUCCCUGCAUGUCUUCCAACCCAGCUCUUUGGGAUGCUUCGUGACAAAAGCAUUGAAUUUCAAGGGACUUAAGGGAACAUCACAAUGGUUCUGUGCAAAGCAAGGCAAAGGGCUUGUAAGGGGCCUAGGGAGAGAAACUGCAGCUCAUCAACGCGGAGCAUCUGUGCAGCUACAGCAGGAUAACAUCAACACCGUGGUCUCAGAAAGCUAGCAUUGCUGGAGGGUUAUCCUGAGUACUACACAGCACGGACUGCAACAGUGACAGACAAGAAACAUGACAUCAUCUUGUCCAGCUUCUAGUGGAGAUGAGAGCUUAGAAAAUUCUGGUAAUGUUGCAGUUUUCCCUUAUUUGAGGUCUGUACAGCAAAACUGGGUACCACUUAAGGCAAAGAUGAAAAUUAGAGAGUACUGAAAGUGUACGUCCUGGCUAGACCAAACCAAAAUGACUCAGCAGCUGCAGAAGGGGUGGAGAGUUGAGAAAUACUGCAUGUAUUACUGAGUUCAUAUACCUUCUCAAUAAAUAUUUUUCUGUAGCCCUGGGGACCAUGUGCUCUGAGCUCUCGCACAAAGACACUUGUCUCUUGGCACGUGUCCCUUGGGAUGGACUUUGGAAUGACCAGUUGAACCUGACCAAGUGUAAUACGGCAGAAGAUGCCAACUAAGAAGAUAUUUAUGCUGCAGUGCAAAGGUGUUCUCACAACAGUCAUACCUGCCUAGCAUCGACCUAUCUAGUGACUGCAUCAAUAGCUGUGGAUCUGCAGAUACACCAGAUUCAGCACAGGCUGAAAAACUUUCUGAAGAGCCUGAGUCAAUAUUCAGACUAACUUAUGCUGAGCUCCUCGCUAAUUACAGACUGUGCUGUUAGUAGGAAGCUCAGUAGCUUAAAGGUAGCUCAGAUACACUUGCAGGAGCCACAGUCACACCUCUGGACUGCAGGGUGGAUCUGUGCAUCGCCACCAAUGUAUAGGAAAGGAUUUGAGAUGUGAUUGCAGUGAUUCAGAGAUAGAUGUAGUUUUUGCUGUCAACUGCAGACAGAAUACAUUGGCAAGAGAUUUUAGGAGCUGAAACAGCACCAGAGUCACUGUGUACAGCACUUCUGCAACCAAGCAGCUCUAGUGAUAGCACCUGCAAUCACCGGGGAAAACUGUAUGUCCAAAACAGCUCUAUAUUCACGUACAUACUUUUUAUAUCAUUUUACAUCUGACAAGCUUGUGUUACUGCUGGUGAGCCUUACACUUGAGAGCUUCCCAGAACACCUCUGCAAAAGGGACUGACUGCGUAAGUCUGAGCUCCUGGGCAGAGCGUGCCAGGCCCCAGAAGGGAUUGAACCUGAGCAAACAUAGCUCUGUUACUGUUCAGGCUUUUCUCUGCACUAACAUUAAUAUACAGGGACAUGUAACCUAUCCAGAAGUUUAUCAGAGUCCAUUCAAGAAAACUAACACUUUCCAUCCAUCAGCAAAGCUGUGGGUAAAGUGUGAUUUUUCUAAUCAAGCAUCUAGAGAUGGCUGUGCACUUAUAUCCUGCACAGCAGGAAAUUGUGUUUUGUUUUGUUUUGUUUUUUGUAACUACUUCUAUAAAUUUUGGGUUAGCAAUUAGCAGUUCCAGGACUGCGAUUAUUAACCAAAGCAGUGUUUAAGGGAAUAUGUGACAGGUUGGGGGGCGUCCUAAUACAUAUUUAAAGAUUUCUUUGUGGGAGUGAAGCAUACUCAUUCAUAUUUCGAGGAAUAAAUAAAGGCCUGUCAGAGGAAAA